UCCGUAGGCGGGCUAAUAAGUCAGGGGUGAAAUCCCACAGCUUAACUGUGGAACUGCCUUUGAUACUGUUAGUCUUGAGUUAUAUGGAAGUAGAUAGAAUGUGUAGUGUAGCGGUGAAAUGCAUAGAUAUUACACAGAAUACCGAUUGCGAAGGCAGUCUACUGCGUAUAUACUGACGCUAAUGGACGAAAGCGUGGGGAGCGAACAGGAUUAGAUACCCUGGUAGUCC
rnacentral:rRNA from 1 species